CAGUACCACCAGAAAUGCUGGAUUCUGCUGGAAUGGCGGCAACUGGAGAUUCAGCACAUGGCGGGAAUCCUGCAGCGGCUGGGGCUGAUGGACAGUCUUUCGCUGGAGACCUGUGGGAAGACGUCAAAUUCAAUGUUGAGCUGAAGAAGGACCACUUACAACAUAAUUUCUUGAAGUCGAAGGACUUAUCUGACCGAAGAACCCCAGGCGUAUUUACGCAGUACAAAUAUUUCCUAGGAAGGUAUCAGUCAAUUACUGAUUUGGUAUCACGCAGCCUAGAUAUUUCUGUUCUUUUAUGCAUGUAUCAAUUCUGAGUUCAGAGCCAACCAUAUUUGUUUUGUACAUGAAUUAACUUCUUUAGGGUGGUAAUAUGGCAAGAACCAGAGCGCUUCUUUAGACAUUUCAUUUUUAGAAAAUAUUCAUUUGGAUGACAUUUGAUGGGUGAGAGGGAAGGAAGAAUGCGUAGGCAUUCAUGAUAAUCUCAGAAGCUGUAGGAUGUUUGGUUCAAAUUCUACGUUUUGGUAGCUUAUAGUGAUUAAAGGUGAAUGAUCUUCACUCCCAUUAGCUUAGCAUCUGCUUACACGUACUAUUUCAAUUUUGCUCAGAGUUGGUAAACAGCGACUACGAGAAGCCAGGACACAAGUGUUAGAUUUUCUGAUUCUACUGCUCGCUGGAAUAUGCCUAGGGACACUGGCUAAAGUGAGUGAUGCUACCUUUGGGGCCAUGGGAUAUCUCUACACUGUCAUUGCAGUUUGUAAGUUUAAUUAUCCUACCUUAUUGAUCACUUUUUGAUAUGUCUCAUCCAUUUCAACUCUUUCAAAAAAUCAUGCGUGCCACAGAAUCAAUUCUAAUAUCUCAUGAUGUUGCUAGCAUCUAUGAUACUACUAUAUCGCACUGCAUGUUAAAGAUCUUUGUCAUUUCGUGAAAGUUUGCAGACACACAAGAGAUGUGUUGCAAGCGUAUGCCCGAUGCUAUUAGAUAUUCUUCAAAACUUAUUAUUUUGUAAAUUCUCUUCUGAUGAUAUUGUUCAUUCUUUCUCAUUUACCAAGUUUUUAUUCCUUGCUCUCAGCUCUACUCAGCAAGAUUACAGCUUUGAGAUCAUUUUCUCUGGAUAAGUUGCAUUACUGGAGGGAGAGUGCUUCUGGCAUGAGCAGCUUGGCUUACUUUCUUGCCAAGGACACGGUUGACCAUUUUAACACAAUUGUAAAGCCAGCAGUUUAUAUGUCAAUGUUUUAUUUCUUCAACAAUCCAAGAUCAAGCAUUAUGGACAAUUAUGUUGUGUUGGUGUGUCUGGUGUACUGUGUUACUGGUAUAGCUUAUACACUUGCCAUCUACUUUGAACCUGGUCCUGCCCAAUUGGUAUGCAUUUGAAGUUCCUACUGCAUGAUAUAUAUAUAUAUAUAUAUAUAUAUAUAUAUAUAUAUAUAUAGUACUAGUAUAUUUAUAUACCAUUUGCAUGGCUCAUAAAUUAGUUCUGCUCCCUGCAGUGGUCAGUGCUGCUUCCGGUUGUCCUAUCUCUGAUUGCAAACCAGGAGGGUGACCCAUUUUUUAAUAAACUAGGGAACUUCUGCUACACAAAAUGGGCUUUGGAAGCAUUUCUCAUAGCAAAUGCAAAAAGGUUUGAUCCAAAUGUCAUGUCUUUGCAAUUCACAUUACAGUCUCUAUUUAGUUUUCUCACAUGUCACAAAUCGCCAAAUAAUUAAUCAGCCUAUAUUGCCCCGUAGAGACCGACAUCAUUGACUUAGUGGACUAUUGUUUGAAUUCAAUUCUUGUUAGUAGAAAUUUAGUUCCAUUCAUCAAUUUUCACGAAAAAUAAUGCCAAGAACAUCCCAAAAUGUCGUGACUACAGAUGGAGUUCUGCACAGUCCCUCUUGUUUACUUUCUUGAUUAGACAUGGUACAUGCUGUUUCUCAUGCUGCUGUGGAAAUUGGAAUCUUACAGGAUUUGAAUUUCAAUUAGCAUUCAGUAGCUGUACAAAUUUCUAAUCCUGUCAAAGUAUUAUGACACAUUGGUCUUGUAAAAGAUCAUCAGGCCUGAUCAAAGAGGACAAACUUAGAAUGGACAUUACCUAGGGCCAUUGUAUGCAUGUUAAUAUGGCAAACCUGCGUGGUUGUAAAGAAAGGGACUGAAAAUACUAACAAUUAACUCGCAAGGCUACUUCACCUUACUAUGCUUCUUUCCACGUGAAUGCUGUUGCAAUUGCUAGCCAAGAAAGAUGGAACUCUGCUGGGGAUUUCAGAAGACAGUACAAAUUACUAACUCGUAUGUGUCAAAUCAGUCCUGGUUACUAGCAUGCAUGCAGUAGAUAACUAAUGAGGAAAACAAAAGAGAGUUAAAAAGUUAUCCUUCGCACCUUAUAGUGAAUAUACCUCAACAAAAUGUUGAGAUAGUUGAUCAAUGUCUAAUCUACUGGCUGAAUACUCUGCUCAUUUAUCUGAUCUUAUUUCUUUGAUUGUCAGGUACUCAGGAGUG
rnacentral:lncRNA from 1 species